rnacentral:lncRNA from 12 species
GAAAUGCAAAGGUAGACAGCCAACAAAACAUUCAGAUCCUCUCUACAACACUACAAUAUUUUAAUGCAAAAGACUGUGUUCAAUUAAGUCGCACAAGAAAUAUUUUUUUCAGACUCCUAGCUCUCAAGGAAAAGUGUGUAUUUCCAUGUCUUAUAAAAGAUCCUGUAGUGUCCACAAUGAAGUUUUAUUGAUUAAUAGCAGCAAAUAAACAUCCAGUCAUUGUAAAAAAUAUUGUCACUAGGAAAUUUCAACUGGUUUCUGUCUUAUGAUCCAAUAUGCCAAAAAUCCAAUUCUGCUUUUAAUGCUGUCCAGCAUUCAUUGGUAAAAGACCACAUAACCACAUUGAACUGCUCGGUUUGCCAAAGACUCACACAAAGGCAAUUGGCAGAAUUUUGGUAUUUGAUAAUUGAAUGUGAGUAACCUUGUUUCUCUGAAACCAGCCCAGAUGAUUGCCAAAAGUUGUAAAAAAUCUGAUGGAAAUAGCAGAUACUCAGACUUGACUAUCUGAUGUAGGAAAUGUCUCCCAAAUUUACUCAUGGUUUUGAUUCUGCUGAAGUAGCUGCUAAACGUGAGCCUGUGGGACCAGUCCAGACUAGCAAGCACUGAAAUCAAUUAGUAGACUCCCAUUAGUUUGGACGUAUUUUAGAACUUAGAAAGUUGAGAUACUAUUGCAGUGCAGUAUCCAUCUAGGUUUGAAAGGGGAACUGAUUGCAGCCACCUGAGAACUUAGCAUUAAAAAGCUAAACCUUUCUCAGCAAAAUACUGAAAGAUCUGUUACAACAAGUCGUCAAAGAACUUGCUUUUAAAGCCCAUCCUAAAUAAAAGGGUGACUGAUGGCAGUUGCUCUGUCACACUGGGGUGUAUUUGUCUACACAGAGGCGUGGUUGUCACCUCUGAAUGGCUGCUGCCCUUUCUUGCAGCUGCCACGUAUCCCUUGCAAAGGCAGCGUGGUUGGGCUUAAGAAGAGUCAGGACGUUGCUCCGAGGUUACAGUGGUGGCCAGCUGGGGAUGGUCCCUGUUUUGUCGGAAAAGGAGACCCGGGAAUGUGGCGGUCCCCGUGCCGGUUUUUUGGGCCGUGUCCCAGCAGCUCCUCGCAUCAGUAGCGGGGGGCUGAGCCCGGAGCGUCCAGCGCCGAGAGCUGCUCACACCAACCCGUCCCAGCAGAGCUGCCGAGCCUGCCUGCGCUGGGACCGCCAGAAUGGCAAAAAAACACUUCGUGUUCGCUGUGACACUUUAAUGAAGUGCAGUGGGUCACCGACGGAGCUCCGGGCUGCCCUCUCACCCGCGGACAUCCCGGCAGCGCUGGCACGACGGCAGCUUUCGGCGGGGAGUACGGGGCCGGGGAGCCACCCCCGGGACCGGCUGGGACAGCGCUGGGCAGCCCGGCCCGGGCCCCGCGGGGAGCGGGGGGGGGGGGGGGGGGGGGGGGGGGGGGGGGGGGGGGGGGGGGGGGGGGGGGGGGGGGGGGGGGGGGGGGGGGGGGGGGGG